rnacentral:rRNA from 1 species
CCCUUAGAUGUUCUGGGCCGCACGCGCGCUACACUGACGGAGGCAGCGAGCAUGUCCUUCGCCGAGAGGUGUGGGGAAUCUUGUGAGUCUCCGUCGUGCUGGGGAUAGAUGGUUGCAAUUGUCGAUCUUGAACGAGGAAUUCCUAGUAAGCGCGAGUCAUCAGCUCGCGCUGAUUACGUCCCUGCCCUUUGUACACACCGCCCGUCGCUACUACCGAUUGAAUCGUUUAGCGAGAAUUUUGGAUCGGAGCCCUGGUGGGCAGCGAUGUCCGCCUGGGAUUUACCGAGAAAUCAUUCCAGCUUGCCGAUUUAGGGGAAGUAAAAGUCGUAACA